rnacentral:lncRNA from 1 species
UAUAAGUGCACGCCAUAUAUAAUACGUGAUGGUAAGCUAUCUUCUUUGUCUUUAUGGCCUACGAGUCUUACUUGGACUUUGGACUUUGGAAUUUUAGGAUGUUAAUAAGAAACUAAAUGAAUGUGCAGCAGUCAAAUCUGAAGUGAUACACGUCAUCAUAUCGUACAAUUCUUCGGGGGGGGAUGACCAGAGAAAAAUGAAGUUGGAAAUGACAAGAAUCAUAUGCUGGAACAUGGGGAAUGUGAGCACUCACUGACCUUUUCCUUACGGCGGAAGCUUCAGGUGGUGAUCCUUAUCCCCCACCCUCAUCGUUGACCACCCGCUUACUAAGAACCCUGAGGAAUCGAUGCUGCCUCAUCCAGUGCAUGUAGCCAUCCGAAACAAGACGAGGUGGUGGGAAUGGUGAAGACGGGACUCUCUCUCUCUCUCUCUCUCUGAGAGAGCGGCGAUCGAUCUCCAUUCGCAGCAGCAUGGAGAAGGAUUGGGACGUGGAAUUGGUGGCUCUCCACGUGGAGUCUGAGAGAGAAACCAUGCAGGUUAACGUGUUCGUCGUCAGAUUCACUCCUUGUCUUGGUCUGCUUUGGCAUCACCCGAUGAAGAUGCUGUGGCUCUGUUCCACAAGUCACUCACUCUAAACGAUAACGAUGGAGCCAAAUCCCGUUCCAUUUACUUGUACGUGUACGUUUGAUUCUGUGCAGCUUUGCCAAUAGUGCUUAGUGGCCAAAGAAGAAAAAGGACAAUGACAUUUUCUACAUCAUAGGGAGUUAAUUAUGCCUCUUUUCCUUGUAUUCUAAUAAUACUAAGUUCACACACCCAAGAAAGAUGGAG